rnacentral:rRNA from 1 species
UACGUAGGGUGCAAGCGUUAAUCGGAAUUACUGGGCGUAAAGCGUGCGCAGGCGGCUUUGCAAGACAGAUGUGAAAAUCCCCGGGCUCAACCUGGGAACUGCAUUUGUGACUGCAUGGCUUGAGUGCGGCAGAGGGGGAUGGAAUUCCGCGUGUAGCAGUGAAAUGCGUAGAUAUGCGGAGGAACACCGAUGGCGAAGGCAAUCCCCUGGGCCUGCACUGACGCUCAUGCACGAAGCGUGGGA